rnacentral:rRNA from 1 species
UACGAAGGGGGCUAGCGUUGUUCGGAAUCACUGGGCGUAAAGCGCACGUAGGCGGAUCUUUAAGUCAGGGGUGAAAUCCCGAGGCUCAACCUCGGAACUGCCUUUGAUACUGGGGGAUCUCGAGUCCGGGAGAGGUGAGUGGAACUGCGAGUGUAGAGGUGAAAUUCGUAGAUAUUCGCAAGAACACCAGUGGCGAAGGCGGCUCACUGGCCCGGAACUGACGCUGAGGUGCGAAAGCGUGGGGAGCAAACAGGG